rnacentral:lncRNA from 1 species
GAGAGGUGGUUUCCGGCGGCGGCGGCGUCGGCGCCGUCGAGGAGGGCGCGGAGGGCCUCGGCGGCCGCGGAGGGGGAGGCAGCGGAGGAGGAGCGCGUGCCGGCGAGGCCCCGCAGCGGGUUGGCCGCGAAGGCGUGGGCGCGGAGGUGGAUGGACAUGGCGAGGGAGGCACGGCGGCCGGCGGCCGCCCGGGUUCGCGUUGGUUGGUGACGCUCUGCCUCUACCUCGCCGGCCAAGGUUGUUGGGUUGGUUGGAUGGACUGAAAGCAGCUGGGAAAGAGGCGAUACAUGUGUCUAUGCCAUGUGGGGCCACCUACCG